GAGAGAGAGGUUGAGAGAGAGGUUGAGAGAGAGGUUGAGAGAGAGAUUGAGAGAUAGAGGGAGAGAGAGGUUGAGAGAAAGGUUGAGAGAGAGAGGUUGAGAGAGAGAGAGGUUGAGAGAGAGAGAGAGGUUGAGAGAGAGAGAUUGAGAGAGAGAGGUUGAGAGAGAGAGAGAGAGAGAGAGAGAUUGAGAGAGAGAGUGAGAGAGAGAGGGAGAGAGAGAGAGGGAGAGAGAGAGAGGUUGAGAGAGAGAGAGGUUGAGAGAGAGAGAGGUUGAGAGAGAGAGAGAUGGGGAGAGAGAGGUUGAGAGAAAGAUGGGGUUGAGAGAGAGAGGUUGAGAGAGAGAGAUUGAGAGAGAGAGAGUGAGAUUGAGAGAGAGAGGGAGAGAGAGGUUGAGAGAGAGAGGUUGAGAGA
ensembl:lncRNA